UACGUAGGGUGCAAGCGUUGUCCGGAAUUAUUGGGCGUAAAGAGCUCGUAGGCGGCUUGUCGCGUCGGCUGUGAAAACCUGGGGCUCAACCCCGGGCCUGCGCGAUACGGGCAAGCGUAGAAUUCGGUAGGGGAGGACUGGAAUUCCUGGUGUAGCGGUGAAAUGACGCAGAUAUCAGGAGGAACACCGGUGGCGAAGGCGGGUCUCUGGGCCGAUAUUGACGCUGAGGAGCGAAAGCGUGGGGAGCGAACAGG
rnacentral:rRNA from 1 species